rnacentral:lncRNA from 1 species
UUGUACAUACAAAAUAAUUAAAAUAAAUAAACAAAUUAAACUUGACGAAGAUGGAUUAAUUAGAAGUCUUGUGGAGGAAAAGUGAAGGAUCGUAAUAAAUUAAUUAGAAAUAAAAUGGUGAGAAUUAUAAAUGACAGGGGGAACAUUUAAAUACAUUAAUUGAAAGUUUAGUAGUGGGCUAUUUUAGAUGUAUUAAUUAGAUAUGUUAAUUAAAAAUUUAAUGGAGAAUUUAAAUACAUUAAUGGGAAGUUUAGUAGUAGACCAUUUUAGAUGUAUUAAUUAGAUAUGUUAAUUAAAAAUUUAAUGAAGAGAAGGGGAAGAAUCACAUGAUGGUGAAGGUGAAGAAAAACUUGACAGGGAACCAUUUAAAUUCAUUAAUUAGAUACGUUAAUUAAAAAAUUAAUGGAGAAUUUAAAUACGUUAAUUGGAAGUUUAGUAGUAGGCCAUUUUAGAUGUAUUAAUUAGAUAUGUUAAUUAAAAAUUUGAUGAAGGGAAAGAAUCACAUGGUAGUAAAGGUGAGGAAAACUUGCCAUGUGGUAAAACAUAUUGAGGAUUCAUAUAAUUUAAUAGAUUUGUUAAAUGCAUACACAGCAUUAUUCUGGUUCAUUAUGGUAAUGGAAU